rnacentral:lncRNA from 1 species
CAUUGUAUUAACCCAUGGGCUGGACUCAGCCUCAAGCCGACGUGACCCACUUGCACUGCAGGAAUCAAAGGACGUAUUAUGGAAUGCUUUUAAUUUGCCAGUAUCUUUAUGCAUAGCAUGCAUGUUAAUGAAGUUGUAAGCUUCUAAUCCAGAUGAUGCCCAAUCCUUCUAAAUAUUCAGCUAGCAAGAACAGAGAUGAAAAGAAAGGAGAAGCCUCGAUCAUCCAAAGGUGAUUAGUCUUCUCAUUUCCGGAAUCAACCCGC